rnacentral:tRNA from 1 species
GGUGGCUCAGUGGCAGAGCACUUGCCUUGCAUGCAUGAAGCCCUGGGUUCGAUUCCUCAGCACCA